UAGAGCUUGCUCUACUAAACCCCUUUUAUGAUCUGGCCUCAAAUCAGGUAGGACUACCCGCUGAACUUAAGCAUAUCAAUAAGCGGAGGAAAAGAAACUAACAAGGAUUCCCCUAGUAACGGCGAGUGAAGCGGGAUGAGCUCAAAUUUAAAAUCUUGCAGCCUCAGGUUGUACGAGUUGUAGUCUAGAGAAUCGUUUUCCGCGUUGGCCUGUGUACAAGUCCCUUGGAACAGGGCGUCAUAGAGGGUGAGAAUCCCGUCCUUGACACAGACUACCAAUGCUUUGUGAUGCGAUCUCGAAGAGUCGAGUUGUUUGGGAAUGCAGCUCAAAAUGGGUGGUAAAUUCCAUCUAAAGCUAAAUAUUGGCGAGAGACCGAUAGCGAACAAGUACCGUGAGGGAAAGAUGAAAAGCACUUUGGAAAGAGAGUUAAACAGUACGUGAAAUUGUUAAAAGGGAAACGAUUGAAGUCAGUCAUGCUUUCCGAGACUCAGCCGAUUCUGUCGGUGUACUUCUCGGUUUGCAGGCCAGCAUCAGUUUCGAUCUGUGGAAAAGGUUGGAGGGAACGUGGCAUCUUCGGAUGUGUUAUAGCCCUUCUUCGAAUACAUAGAGCGGGACUGAGGAACGCAGCGCGCC
rnacentral:rRNA from 1 species